rnacentral:tRNA from 1 species
GCACCAGUGGUCUAGUGGUAGAAUAGUAACCUGCCAUGGUGUAAAUUCAGGUUCAAUUCCCGACUGGUGCA